rnacentral:rRNA from 1 species
CAGCCGCCGCGGUAAUACGUAGGGUGCAAGCGUUAAUCGGAAUUACUGGGCGUAAAGCGUGCGCAGGCGGUUAUAUAAGACAGAUGUGAAAUCCCCGGGCUCAACCUGGGAACUGCAUUUGUGACUGUAUAGCUAGAGUACGGCAGAGGGGGAUGGAAUUCCGCGUGUAGCAGUGAAAUGCGUAGAUAUGCGGAGGAACACCGAUGGCGAAGGCAAUCCCCUGGGCCUGUACUGACGCUCAUGCACGAAAGCGUGGGGAGCAAACAGGAUUAGAGACCCCUGUAGUCCCUGUCUCUUAUAC